rnacentral:lncRNA from 12 species
CUGGUCGUGUGCAAACCCUGUGACUUUGUGCUCUGGGAUCUGAAACGUUUAGGGCAGGCUCUGUAAUUACACUAUGAAUUAGAUCUAUGAUUUCUAGCAGUUUUCCAAAUGAUGGGAGAAAGCAAUGAUCAAGAAUGCAACUUUGUGGAAGGAACACACCCAAACUGUUAGAGGAAUAAAGGACAUGCAAGAAAAGUCAAGUAUUUUCAUACAAGCAGAUUUCUGAAUGCUUGAUUAACAGAGAGUGUGUCAGAAAUCUUUUUCCUUUUUCUGUGUUUCAUUGUCCUUCAAAUUAGCAAAGAAUAUUACCUUUUAUCAAGGCCAAGGGUUGCAUGUUGCAAAGAAGAAAACUGAUAAGGAGGCUGACCGUCUUCAAAGAUGAUUCUUGGCACAUGCAGGGCCUGAAGAAGCAAGAGGGACACGUAGAAAGUUAUUCCCUGGGUGCUGCCUCUUGUUGCUUCAAGCUGAUUGAAGUUGGGAUGACAUUUACAUUCUUUGUUUUUUUUUUUUUUUUCUGUAUCACUCAAAAAAAAAAAAAAGAAUUACUUAUUGUUUGAAAACCAAUAAUAUUUUAUUUUAUAUAUUUAUUUACAUUAUUUAAAGAUUUUAUUUAUUUAUUUGAGCACGAGAGACAAAGAAGAGCACAAGCAGGAGGAGGGGCAGGGGGAGAGGGAGAAGCAGACUCCCGCCCUGAGCAGGGAGCCCAAAAUGGGACUCCAUCCCAGGACCCUGAGAGCAUGACCUGAGCGGAAGGCAGACACUUCACUGACUGAGCCACCCAGGCGCCCCUAUAGAAGACUUUUUUCAUAGCUUUUUUGAUAUGGUAAGUAGUUAAAGUAUGUAUAUUUUAAUAUGCUAAGUAUUUAAGUGUACACGUUACUCCUGUGUGUUAGUCAGGGUUCUUGAGAGAAACAAGGUCGACAGGAUGCACAAGCGGAGAUGUAUUAUAAAGAGUGGCUCCUGUGAUGGUGAAGCUGGGGAAGUGCCCCGUUUUGCAGUGGGUGGUGUGGGUUCCGACUGCGUCCACACCUGAAGGCUGCGGA